UACAGAGGUCUCAACCGUUGUUCGGAUUCAUUGGGCGUAAAGGGUGCGUAGGCGGUCGCGCAAGUCGGAUGUGAAAUCUCAGGGCUCAACCCUGAAACUGCAUUCGAUACUGCGUGGCUAGAGUGCUGGAGAGGAGACUGGAAUUUACGGUGUAGCAGUGAAAUGCGUAGAUAUCAAGUGGAACACCAGUGGCGAAGGCGAGUCCCUGGACAUUUCCUGACACUGAGGCACGAAAGCUAGGGGAGCAAACAGG
rnacentral:rRNA from 1 species